UGUCUCCUUCUGUCUGAUAUGUUUGAUAUUGGGUUGUUUAAUUAGGAACCAACUACAUGUCAAACAUAUUUUUACAGCAGUGGACA
rnacentral:pre_miRNA from 12 species